rnacentral:rRNA from 1 species
AGAGGUGGCAAGCGUUGUUCGGAAUUACUGGGCGUAAAGGGCGCGUAGGCGGCCUUCUAAGUCAGACGUGAAAUCCCCCGGCUUAACCUGGGGAACUGCGUCUGAUACUGGGAGGCUCGAGUAUGGGAGAGGGAUGUAGAAUUCCAGGUGUAGCGGUGAAAUGCGUAGAUAUCUGGAGGAAUACCGGUGGCGAAGGCGGCAUCCUGGACCAUAACUGACGCUGAGGCGCGAAAGCUAGGGGAGCAAACGGGAUUAGAUACCCCGGUAGUCCUAGCCCUAAACGAUGAAUACUUGGUGUGGCGGGUAUCGAUCCCUGCCGUGCCGAAGCUAACGCAUUAAGUAUUCCGCCUGGGGAGUACGGUCGCAAGGCUG